rnacentral:snRNA from 1 species
GAGCAAGUAAUCAAAUUAAUUUU